GCUAUGGCUCUUCGCUGAUCUAUGUGUAAACCCUGUUAUUAGGUCAGAAAUGUGCGUUUUAUUUGUGUUUUCACUCUUUUAUCUGUGGAAUAAUCGCGGAGAGUGAUUCUAGUUCUUCUUGAAUGCUCUGAGCUUUUAUGAGUACAUACGUACAGCUCGGAGGGUCAAUAGCUGGGAGUUGGAUUAUUGCAACUAAGAGUGAUUCAUUAGUAGUUUGCAUAUUAACUUAAGUAAUGUGGAGAUUUAAAAUGUGUGCACUGUACUUGUCUGUUUAAGGUAAUUGCAUUUGGGAUUAAUUGGAGUAUUGAAAUGAUGAUCAAAUGUGAAAUGACACGUUCACGUUACAAUGACCGAUGUUUAUCCACAACAUUGUCAGGCCAGAUAACCAUGUCCAUGUUUGACUUGUGUCAGUGACCAUGUGAUUCAAGGCUUCCAUUGCUGUGGAGUGCAUUGAACGACAUCAUGGCCUAGAAGAACAUACCCGGGGAUAAUACCAGCAGCAACAAGUAUCACGCAACCGCCAAAAUGCACGCCGCCAUUUUGAAGCAUGUCUGAGUGAACCGAUGGUUUCCAUGGAUUCCAUGAAGAUUCAAUUGAUUUGUUGGUUUUUAAUUGUCCAAUUAUUUUUAAAAAUAAACAUUUUGGUGAA